AUCAACAUAAAGGAACCAUAAGGAUGAGGAACUGGUAUUCCACAGCUACCUGUGAGAUCUGUAUAUCUAAUCAGAACACCAGAAAGGGGAUUAUUGUUGAAUCAGGAAACAACAGCCAGUAAUGCAUGAACAGCUGAACAAAACUGAGUCAUGCUACGAAACAUCACCUGGGAUUUUAAGCCAUUCUCAAAGUUUUGGAAAGUAUUGCUCUACAGUUAAACAGGCUUUGGUCUGUGCUUCUGAACAGCUUGCAGAGACUACCAUAUAUAACCUAAUGAAUGUUCUUCUUGAAGACUUGGCCUCAUUAAUUGGAGCUGUGAUAUCCUCCUGAUCUCUUCCUUCCUGCUUCCCAAGAGAAGUGUCAACAUUUAAAACUCGAGAUUUCUCUGCUGAUAUUUUUAAAGAGACUAGCAUGAGUGGCUUGAGACCUGCUCCAUGAGUGCCAGAAGCACGAGAAGACGACCUACUGCAGACCUGUCUUUACUAUAAGUGUAAUCCUGCGAAGACUUGGCCCAGCCACAAAAAUAAACUGUGGAUACUAAGAGAUGGUCCAUUUCACAUCUCAUCCUGUUCA